GACGAACGCUGGCGGCGCGCUUAACACAUGCAAGUCGAACGGAAAGGCCCGCUUUCCCUUGUGGGUUGCGGGUACUCGAGUGGCGAACGGGUGUGUAACACGUGAGUUAUCUGCCCCCAACUUUUGUAUAAGCCUGGGAAAAUGGGUCUAAUGCCCGAUAGCACUGCAGGGUGGUGCGGGUGGUGGCGACCGAUGUUCUUGUGGUUGCGGAUUAGCUCGUGGCCUAUCGGCUGGUUGGUGGGGUAAUGUCCUACGAAUACGGGGACGGGUAGCCGGCCUGGGAGGGUGGACGGCCACAUUGGGACGGAGACACGGCGCAGACUACUACGGGAAGCAGCAGUGGGGAGUAUGGAGCGAGGAGCGGAAGCCUGAUGCAGCGACGCUGAGUGGGGAAUGACGGGUGUGGGGUUGUGGACUCCUUUCGGCCGCGAGGAAGCCACUUGGUUGGAAGGGUGGUGACGGUAGUGGGAGAAGAAGCACCGGCUAACUACGUG
rnacentral:rRNA from 1 species